GGAACUUCUCGGAGAGGGGCACCGGAAUAGGGUCGGCGGGAAAGGUGGUUGUCGGGCAGGGCCCUUGCUUCCUUGUCAGACCUCGGAGUGGCAACACUCGGGAUGUGUUCCUGAGCGUGCGGGAGCUGGCGAGGUCUGGCUCGCUUCGCGGUGCAGGACUAACUCUAACGGCUCCCGAGCCCCCACCUCAGAGCUAGGCGGUGGUACGGCCCGGAGAGUCACGCGCCUGGGUCUCCGCGGGGCUGAGGGACCACGGGCCUCUUGGGGUCUCCAAGUCACCAUGAAUGCCAUCGUGGCUCUCUGCCACUUCUGCGAGCUCCAUGGGCCCCGCACUCUCUUCUGCACGGAGGUCCUGCAUGCCCCCCUUCCCCAAGGGGCUGGGAAUGAAGACAGCCCUGGCCAGGGCGAGCAGGCGGAGGAAGAGGAAGGUGGCAUUCAGAUGAGCAGCCGGAUGCGCGCACACAGCCCUGCUGAGGGGGCCAGCGUUGAGUCCAGCAGCCCGGGGCCCAAAAAGUCGGACAUGUGUGAGGGCUGCCGGUCACUUGCUGCAGGGCACCCAGGGUAUAUCAGCCACGAUAAAGAGACCUCCAUUAAAUAUGUCAGCCACCAGCACCCCAGCCACCCCCAGCUCUUCAGCAUUGUCCGCCAGGCCUGCGUCCGGAGCCUGAGCUGUGAGGUCUGCCCUGGCCGCGAAGGCCCCAUCUUCUUCGGAGAUGAGCAGCAUGGCUUUGUGUUCAGCCAUACUUUCUUCAUCAAGGACAGCCUGGCCAGGGGCUUCCAGCGCUGGUACAGUGUCAUCACCAUCAUGAUGGACCGGAUCUACCUCAUCAACUCCUGGCCCUUCCUGCUGGGGAAGGUCCGGGGAAUCAUCGACGAGCUCCAGGGCAAGGCGCUCAAGGUGUUUGAGGCAGAGCAGUUUGGAUGCCCACAGCGUGCGCAGAGGAUGAACACAGCCUUCACACCAUUCCUGCACCAGAGGAAUGGCAAUGCCGCCCGCUCACUGACGUCACUGACAAGUGAUGACAACUUGUGGGCAUGCCUGCACACCUCCUUUGCCUGGCUCCUGAAGGCAUGUGGCAGCCGGCUGACCGAGAAGCUCCUGGAAGGCGCUCCGACCGAGGACACCUUGGUCCAGAUGGAGAAGCUUGCAGAUUUAGAAGAGGAAUCAGAAACCUGGGACAACUCUGAAGCUGAAGAGGAGGAGAAAGCCCCUGUGUUGCCAGAGGGUGCAGAAGGGCGGGAGCUGACCCAGGGCCCGGCAGAGUCCUCCUGUCUUUCAGGCUGUGGGAGCUGGCAGCCCCGGAAGCUGCCAGUCUUCAAGUCCCUCCGGCACAUGAGGCAGGUCCUGGGCGCCCCGUCUUUCCGCAUGCUGGCCUGGCACGUUCUCAUGGGGAACCAGGUGAUCUGGAAAAGCAGAGACUUGGACCUCGUGCAGUCAGCCUUUGAAGUGCUUCGGACCAUGCUGCCCGUGGGCUGCGUCCGCAUCAUCCCGUACAGCAGCCAGUACGAGGAGGCCUAUCGGUGCAACUUCCUGGGGCUCAGCCCACACGUGCAGAUCCCCCCCCACGUGCUCUCCUCAGAGUUCGCUGUCAUCGUGGAGGUCCAUGCGGCUGCGCGCUCCACCCUCCACCCUGUGGGCUGUGAGGACGACCAGUCUCUCAGCAAGUACGAGUUUGUAGUGACCAGUGGGAGCCCUGUAGCUGCAGACCGAGUUGGCCCCACCAUCCUGAAUAAGAUUGAGGCCGCCCUGACCAACCAGAACCUAUCUGUGGAUGUGGUGGACCAGUGCCUCGUCUGCCUCAAGGAGGAGUGGAUGAACAAAGUGAAGGUGCUUUUUAAGUUCACCAAGGUGGACAGUCGGCCCAAAGAGGACACACAGAAGCUGCUAAGCAUCCUGGGCGCCUCCGAGGAGGACAAUGUCAAGCUGCUGAAGUUCUGGAUGACUGGCCUGAGCAAGACCUACAAGUCACAUCUCAUGUCCACGGUCCGCAGUCCCACGGCCUCGGAGUCUCGGAGCUGACCUGCCACACACAACCACCUAAAGAUGGGGGUGGCUGUCCACAGGCCCCUCCAGCCACACACGAGGGACUGUCACGUGUUUCUGAUUUGCUGGAAGGACCUGUGUCCCAGCAAGGAAUGGAAACUCUGGGCUGGGCUGGCCCUCUGUCGAGUUUGGGGCCUGUGUGCUUCCCACAACCUUCCUUAAGCCACUGGAAUCGCUGAAGAGGCAAUGAAAGGUGUGGGUUAUUGCACAUGUGCCUGCCAAGAACACUAGUGUAUGCAUGCUUGUGUGAAUGGAUCCAUCCUUUCUCCUGGGAGUGGGAUGCCUGGACCAUCUGGAAGGUGCAAGUUUAAUAUUUUAAUACAUUUUUAAUUUAAAAUAAUUUUAGAUUUACAGAAAAGUUUCAAAGAUAGAACAGAGUUCCAUUUACCCCCAUCCCGCUUCCUUUAUUGUUAGGCUUUUACAUUCCUUUCAUACAUUUUUCAAAGCUAAGAAACUGACAUUGGUACAAAGCGAUUAAGCUCCAGACUUUAUUUGGAUCUCACCAGGUUUUCUGUGAAUGCCUUCUUUCUGUUCCAGGAUCCAGCCCAGAACACCGGCUCAGUGCCCACUAAGACAGCCCUCAGCUGCCUUCGUCUCCCCUCCGUUAAUGCUUAAAGCAGGGCAGCCUCCUUCCAACAAUGCUGGAGAUCCAGUUGGGUGUGGGUAACACCCCCUGGGGCACCGAGGAAGGAGAACUGUGCAGACCCCAGGCACAGUUAGUGCCUGAAGUAUAACUCACUGCUUACUUAUAUCUAGCUUAUAUAUAAAAUCAUACUAGGUCUCAUAUGAUCUUUCUAUAUAAUCAUAUAACUUACUGCUUACUAUAUGUAGCUUAUAUAUAUAAUCAUACUUAGUUCCAUAUAAUCUUUAUAAUCAUAUAGGUAUUGUAGUCGGAGCUGUACUGACACAUUUAGUGCUGAUUUAUAGAAUCCUUCUAUAUAACCAUAUAGUAGUUUGUAGUAGGAGGAAUGCCUAGAGCAGUCACAGAACAGAAGCAGUACAUGGGAAAACAGCCAGACCAGGACAAGAACUGAAGUCCCAGGCGGUGGCGGCCUUGCCUGAAAGGGCAUAUGCUGUAUGGCAGGCUUGGAGCAAGAGCCUUUCCUCCUGAUAAAGGAGUUGUAGUAUCUUGCAUCCAGUUCCUGUGGAAAGUGGGCCUCAGGCCUGAGAUCCUGCAAAGAACUGAGGGAGAAGAACCCCUCAGGUGUGACCAGUCUCGGAGGCUGUACACCCUGUCAGUCUUUUCUCGAUUCUGUGCUAGGUCAAUCAUCCUCCCAUACAUAUCUUAGAGAAGAGCACAAGUCUGUCAGAUCCCACUGCAUUGGCUUGCAGUAUCCUUCUAUUAGAAAUCCUUUGAAGUCUCCAGCCCCAGAUAAGAAGUGUCGCGCACACGACACCUAUUGCACACAGCCCACCUCUUUGCCUCAGUGACCUAAUAGGGGUGGACCCCUUUUCUGUACACGACCCUCUACUACUGCUCACGGCACAGCCCCCUACUGCACACGGCCCACGUCUCUGCCCAGGUGACAUAAUGGCGUGGCCCCCUCUCUUGUGACUCAUGUAAUUAUGUAUGCCCUAUCACUAAGCCUAUAGCUGAUGACCUCACUUACGACCCUUCCCCCUGCUUGUACCUAAUAAAUACAGACACUUCCGGGCGUUGGG